rnacentral:rRNA from 1 species
AGAGUUUGAUCCUGGCUCAGGACGAACGCUGGCGGCGUGCCUAAUACAUGCAAGUCGAGCGAAGUUUUUCUGGUGCUUGCACUAGAAAAACUUAGCGGCGAACGGGUGAGUAACACGUAAAGAACCUGCCUCAUAGACGGGGACAACUAUUGGAAACGAUAGCUAAUACCGGAUAACAGCAUAAAUCGCAUGAUAUAUGUUUAAAAGUUGGUUUCGGCUAACACUAUGAGAUGGCUUUGCGGUGCAUUAGCUAGUUGGUGGGGUAAAGGCCUACCAAGGCGACGAUGCAUAGCCGACCUGAGAGGGUGAUCGGCCACACUGGGACUGAGACACGGCCCAGACUCCUACGGGAGGCAGCAGUAGGGAAUCUUCCGCAAUGGGCGAAAGCCUGACGGAGCAACGCCGCGUGAGUGAAGAAGGAUUUCGGUUCGUAAAGCUCUGUUGUUAGGGAAGAAUGAUUGUAUAGUAACUAUAUACAGUAGAGACGGUACCUAACCAGAAAGCCACGGCUAACUACGUGCCAGCAGCCGCGGUAAUACGUAGGUGGCAAGCGUUGUCCGGAAUUAUUGGGCGUAAAGCGCGCGCAGGUGGUUUAAUAAGUCUGAUGUGAAAGCCCACGGCUCAACCGUGGAGGGUCAUUGGAAACUGUUAAACUUGAGUGCAGGAGAGAAAAGUGGAAUUCCUAGUGUAGCGGUGAAAUGCGUAGAGAUUAGGAGGAACACCAGUGGCGAAGGCGGCUUUUUGGCCUGUAACUGACACUGAGGCGCGAAAGCGUGGGGAGCAAACAGGAUUAGAUACCCUGGUAGUCCACGCCGUAAACGAUGAGUGCUAAGUGUUGGUCUCAUAAGAGAUCAGUGCUGCAGCUAACGCAUUAAGCACUCCGCCUGGGGAGUACGACCGCAAGGUUGAAACUCAAAGGAAUUGACG